rnacentral:lncRNA from 1 species
AUACACACCUUCUAUUUUCUUUGCACAAAAUCUGAUAAUUGAAGGAAAAAAACAAAUCCAGCACCCAUAUCUUUUAUUAAAAUCAUGUAGAUGUCCACACAUGUUUGUUAACUUUACUUUAUUUACGUCACUUCCUCGCCUAGAUGUGAAGAUAUAAUGUAUUCAUUACUGCCUUUUUUGCAUGAUCACUCCUAUUUGCUAUCGUCGCACAACCAUUGCCAAAAGCUGCAAAUUCUAUCGAAAAUAGGUAUGUUUUCCUCCUAUUCAUAUUAUGUACUGGCUUACAUAUAUAUUAAUACCUACAUAUUGCUUACAUAGAUUUACAAUAUCACAUUGCUUACUGUCUAUAUACAUCGUUGUUUUAACGUAUUGUUAAAAGGCUCGCUCUUCCGCUCGCGCAAGCGCGAGCAAGUUACUAGUUUAUACAAGUGGCAAUCAAAUUUGUAAAUAUAAGAAUUAUUAUGAAUAAUUUAUACAAGUGACAAAUCAAAUUUGUAAAUAUAAGAAUUAUUAUGCUGGUUUACAUAUAAUACCAAAUUAUAACACAUAUUUUAUCAUUCCUUAUUGAAUUUCUAAAUGUAUUUUACUAAAUUAUACAUGAUUUUUUAAAAUUUGGUAUACUCAGUAAAAUUCCAGAUCCGGCCAGAACGAGUCACCAUCCGUCUGAUUGGUUACUCGCACCAUCUCAUCUUGGAUCACCCCAUGCGUUGACUUUAUUUAAGAUUAUGUUUGGUUGCUUGUAUGUGUGAAUCACAGCCGCAUAGAUGGAUGUAAAAUAAGUCAUUUUGAUGCUAUUAAAGUGCAUCCACUCAUACGCUCAAAAUUUUCGUAUGUGUCUGAUCAGAGCGGCGCCAGCCACAGCGCAUAGACGCUCAGCCAUCCAAUCAGGCUGCAUGCAAACAUGCUUUCCCAAUCAGGCUGCAUGCAAACAUGCUUUCCUGGUUGCUGCUAUGACCCAUUCAAGUUUUCAAUUAGAAAUUCAUCGAGUCAUGUAAAAACUAGCAGUGAAUUUGACUGUAAAAUACAGGCGCCCGAGAAGUUGUGCAGCCCGGAGUCCUACUAGACUACUUUUACCGGCAUGUCAGACCUACCCGUGUCAUUGUCGCCAUAUGGAGCCAAACAGAACAGAAAUUAUCCUCACACUAUGGCCAUCAUAAACUAAACCAAGUGAAGCCUGUUUUACCGUCGAUUGACCAUUUGCCUUCCGUGAGCACAAAAAAGGAACACAAAACCACCGAGUUUGAAAGCAUCAAAAUGAUAGUGGAUCGGCGACGGUUUCUUGAGGCGUACGUGGGCGCUCGGCGCUCAAACGCCGUCACGUCCACGCCGUCUGACGUGUUUCUGUCUUGAGCUAGCUGCUCAGCAACUUUGACAUGGAAACCAAACCUCCACGUCCAGUUCGCUGUAAAAAAAGAAGGCAAUUGUUAAGAAACCGCCAAAGGGGUCACAUAUACCCAGGAGGCUCCAUCUUUCUAUAUAAUAACUAGGUGAGUAUCCGUGUGUUGCAACAGGAACAUAUAAUAUCAUAAUAAUUUAUAUACAAAAUAUGUUUUAUAUUGUUAUAAGAAAAUGUUUCAUAAUCCAUUUGUGAUUCUAGUCAUACAUAAAUUUUGUUAUUUUAAUUUAGUUGUUUCACUACUACAUUACAACCAUCAGUAUCAUGCAUACUUCGAUAUAUGUCAUAAUUUGCAGGGUCUCAUCAUUGGAGAGCACGUGUCACACCUGCCGGUAGAAGUUCCGCCGUACAUCGUUAAUCAUCAGGCACGCACCACCAUACACGCUUGCUUAAACAAAAAGGCAAGUGUGUGUUUGCGAAGAGAAUUAAAGGCAGGCCGACACAAAAGCUACCCCUGCGAUGGCGAGUGGUCAUUGUUGUCGGUCCUCCUCUGCUCACCUCCGGCGCCGAG